UGUCACACAGCAGUACAGAUCUUACUCUACUGACACUGUCAUCACCAACUGCAGAUUGGGGAACUACUGAAUAUAUAAAUAUCUACACACAGUUAUAUAUAUAUAUAUAAGGGGCAUGUGGUAGAGAAGACAGAAAGGGCAAGUGGCAGAAGGGGCCAGAGACACUGGUGCAGUGGUGAAACGUCGGUGACGCAGUGUGUCGGCUGCUGUGAUUAUGCUAAGAGCAUUAGAUCGAAUUAGAUGCUGCAGUAAUAAUGAAGCAACAGAGGAGGGGAAAGAAGC